UUACUUUUGUAGAAGCCUGAACCCCCUCAUACGUGGGGGUACAUACAUAUCUCCUUUUCAGUUGGAGUGUAUGUCAUGGUUUUGUAACUUUGCUAUUGGUAUUCCACAUCAUAACAUCAUGGCCAAAAGAGAAGAACUACGUAUCCCAGAGGACCUCACGGUCAGAGAAGGAAGAUACAUCACGGAAGAUACGUCAUCUGGUUGUGCGUGGUCUUUUUCACUUUUCGCUUGCUGCCAGGGAGAGGAGUGGGUGUGUGCUUUCCAAGCCAUGCGCCUUCAUCAAAAGUAAGAUAGCAGUGCUCGAAGUUUACAAAUGUCCCAGAAUAUUGGCAGACCGCCUGGACUUUUCAAGGUCAAGUUUUCACCUGCAGAAGAGAAAAAGCUCUCCUAACAAAGCUCUCCAAGAGCAGAGAGAGAUUCAUUAAAGCUAAAAUGCAGCUUUUUCCAGCAUUCUCCACCACAAAUGUCAACGGUUUAUGGGCUGGUUUGGCCUGGUUCCGUGACUAGCGGGGCAGAGGGAACCGCAGAUCCACACCUCCAGAAAGGGGAAACCGGGGACCCCAGAAUAAUUAAAAACAGCAGCAAUGAUCUGAGGAGAAACAAACUAAUUUACUAAAUAUGGUAUAAAGUCCUAGGUUCUGUUUCACAUGGAGCAGACAAAUCACCUGGGAAGCUGAUGCCCUUUGAUGAAGAGAAAGCCUCUAAGACUUUCUUUAACUCUGCAUCAAUUCAUAGGAAAGAAGUUUUGGAACCAUGGCUCAUAGAGCUUUUAACCUUUUGUGGAGACUGCCUGAUGAGGUUCUGCACAGAUGCCUUUAUGGAAUGAGAGAAGUUCUAUGAGAGAGAGAAGAACAUUUCAGCUUCUUGUGCUGCCCUGCCAGUGAGGAGACGGGGGGUGCAAAGAAGCUGAGGUGGGACAGAACCAGGACAGCUGACCCAAAAUGUCCAAAGGAAUAUCCUAUACCAUAUGACAUAGUUCUGACAAUAAAACUGGGAGACUGAGUGAGCUGUGUCGUGCUGAGCUGCCUGCCAGGGUUAAACCACAGCAGUAGUGCACCCAACAGAGGACUGGAAGAGUUUGAGAUUAUGACAGAUUUGACUGGAGUAUGGAGCGUGCUACACCAAAUGCAUAGUUGUUAUACUCUUCAGCUGCUAAUUGGUAUGCUCCCGCAGUUUUCCUGGGUCUUGCUUGCCUUACUGUAUUUUGGAGUCUACUAUCUGUUAGUGGAUGCUUUUGCUCUGUCUUCCCUCUCCACUUUCUACUUUCCACUCUCCCCUCUCCUCAGAAAACAAACAAACAAUAAUAGUAAUAAUAAUAGUAAUAGUAAUAAAACAAAACAAACAAACAAAACAAAACAAAACAAAAAAACCCGGAGGUUUUUAAUCAGUAGAUGGCAGUAAGAGCUAGCAAGAAGCCUGAAAGGGAGUCUCACAGACCUACACAUUAAUCAUACAUAUAGCAAAUUCCACAAAGUACAAGCCGACAAAGACCCUGCUUUACCACAAUCAAUCUUUAUUCACCACUAGAUUACAGUGGUUAGAUAUAUUUGAUUGCCACAGGUCCAAGAAAAAGCUUAUAAAUAACUAUAAAUGUAAUCGGCUUAAAUUUUUGCCAUUGUAUUUUUUGGUUUUAUUUUUGUUGUAGGCUGAGAUUGGGGUGCAAUCUGUUUAUCCUUAGAUUUGUUGUAUGACCACCCAGUCCAUCUGUCACCUUGACUUUGAAGCUGUAAUUUUAAUGUUUGGCUCUGUAAAUGUUUAAAGCAUCAUUACAAAUUUACAAAGGGAAAGAUACUGCUAACGGUGCAGCUGAAAUAAGACUGUCUCAGCUCACUUGUCUUUACUCCAAGACUUUCACUGCUGUGUGCCUGUGUUUUAAGCUGAAAUGAUAUCACAACAGUGAAGUAAUGCUGCAUUGUACUGCAGGAUCCAUUUUGGACAGCUCUAUUCUCUAGCCUGCAUUGCUUUUUCAAAAAGUCACAAUGUACAAUGGAUGUACACUUUAUUCACUUGUGAAAGGUAUGAAUUCAUGUAUUUUUCUAACAUACACUCAGCAAAAAAAGCAGUGUAAGUAUACUUGAAAAAAAAAAAAAAAGAAAAUAGAAUAAUAAUGUUGAUUUACUUUCCAGCUCACUAUCUAUAUAUAGUUAGAAAUGUAUAUUUAAUUUUCUGUAAAUUUGCAAGCUUUUUAACUGUGUAAUAUAUAUAAAAUUUGAAAUCCACACUGUAUUUCUCUGUUUGACUCUAUUUGUUUAAGCUAUGUAUUUGUGUACCAAUCAGACCUAUGAUAGUUUUAUUUAACUUCACAGUCCUUUUUCUGUGAAAGAAAAUUGUCUUUUUCUGCUUCCCAUUCAGUAGUACAGAUGUACAAGAAUUUUGUAACAAUCUUAAAUUUUCUUGCUUAAUAAAAAUAUUUUCACAGUAUAACACUGAAAUAACAUCAUGUAAGAUUGAAAGAAAAAAGAGAAACACAAAAUUAAAGAGAAGUUUGUGGCCUUUAGUUAUAAAUAUAGAGGAGUUUAUGGAGGCCACAAUGAAACAAUCAGCUCUGAAAGAAGUUUGAGACAAGAAAGCAUUAUUUCCAUAGGAGGUGAGUAGGGUCAGGGCACUGGUUCUGAAAAGCACCAUAAACUUUUGAAAGAUAUAAUUAAUGAUCGAAACAGGCAGACAGAUUAAGAGGUGCAUAUAUGUGUGCAUAGAUAUGUACAUUAUAUAUAAAUAUAAAUGAUAUAGUUACAGAUAUUGAUAGCAUAAUUAAUUUCUAGUUGGUCAAUAUUAGGAACCGCUAUAUAGCAUAGUAGUUGCAUUUGCUGUGGGGUGCUGGCAUUAAGAAAUUUGUAUACCAUGGUUAAACAUAUAUACAGCAACGAAUUCAACUCAGUAAGUGUUCCCUCUCCCCCUACAAAGUACACUGAUGUUUUAUAUUCUGUUGAAAUCAAUUGAAGUGUAUCACAUUGGCAUCCAAAGAAAACAACAGUUGGUGAUUUCAGAUUUCCCAGGUGAGGACUGCAAUCAGUUGAUCAAACUGCAAUUGCUUUUUACUCUGGGGUAAAUACAAAUAUGCAUGGAUUGUUCUUUGUGGUCAUGCUUCAGUGGUAUCCAGCUAGCUUCUGACAUCACCAGGUCUCCUUUACAGGCAGAUAAUUUUAUCCUUUUGCCAAGGACAGCCACUUUAGUCACAGCAUUUUGUAUCUGCCUUGGCUGCAGGAGAGUCAUCUCUUUUAACACAUUCAGAAACGAAUAUAUUUUACCAACAAAUUCUCCAUUCUAACAUUUUUGCAUCAUUUGUGAUUUUUUAUUCUUUUAUGUGGCCCUUUUACAUUAAAGCUAAACCAGAGCAUUCCUUCAUAAAUAAAUAAAUAAAUAAAUCUAGCUGAUUGAGUGCCAAAGACUGCACAAUAGACUUCACUAAGAGCUGAGAUUUAUUCAUUGCAAGCAUAAAGCAUUUGAGUACUCUGCAAUUUAAUCUUUUUUUUUUUUUUUUUUUUUUUUUUCACUUUCAUCAAGCAAUUGGUAGGCUGUAGAGAGUUCUAGCAAUUUUUUUGAUUAAUUCAGUACAAUAUUACCUUUGGUUCUCUAUCAGCAUGAAGGUUAUAAAAACAAUAGCAUUUAAGAUAUAGAAAAUAUCUCAAAAAGGUGACAAUAAUACUAAAUAUGUAUUCUAUUUUUUGACAAAAAUGUCGAUGCAGGACUGAAAAGGAGUAAUAAAAUACCACUGUGAUAUUAACACUUUGUGGGAGGACACUGUCAUCUUUGUAAUUUAAUGCUUUGUUUGUUUUUCAUAGUUUUUACACUGGCAGAAUAUCCAGAGCCCAGUAUAAAUUUUUAAAAAGUCAGCAAUUCAUUAAUACUUCUCUUUAUGUCAUGUUCACAGAUUGAAUCUGAUUGGAAUUUCAAAGAAGGUCAGAGUGAACUUUUCAAGUUUUAUGUGAAUAAAAACACCCAACAGGAUCAAAACCUAUUCCGCUUUAUUCAUUCAGAAUAUAAUCAAAUAAAUAUGGGCUUAACAGCUUCUUUCUUUAACCCCAAAUUCGAAAGGCUUAUGUGAGUUCUUCCAUUACCUUGCUAUUGUGGAAAUACUGAGAAGCAACUUCCUCUCCAUUUCAAGUUUCAUACUGGAAUUAAUGCACUAAUAUCUGUCUUGGGAAACAGGUAUUUGUAAUGUUAAUUCAGUCCUCAUCAGCAUCAUAACUUUAGAGCUAAUGACAAAAUGAUGUAACAAGAUAAUGGAGUCUGAAAGUGAACAAUAGAAAUUAUGUUCCACUCCCCAAUCCAGACACAUUUUUUAAAUAUUAGAGAUGUGGAACAAAGGUAAUGAGAAUCUGACAAGUCACUCACUAUUUGACAGUAAGGAGAAAUACAGAGAAAAAGAGAGUGUUGAAGACUCAAAAAGUGCAGUGGGAGGAAACACAGCACCAACUGUACAGAAGCAAUUUUCAUGUCACAGUCUGUAUUAAGGAAUUAAUGUCAGUUUUUCUCCUCACUUCAAAAUAUUGAUAUUUAAAACAAUCAAAACGGUUUUAUUCAAAAAGUUCCAGUAGCAGCAGUAUUAAAUUAUAGAAUUAUUUUAUUAAAUUAAACAGAAAAAUACUGAGGUUUUAUUAGCUGUGUAGAGAUGACAGGUAACCCCUUUUCUUCAACAGACUGGUGUAAGAGGGUGAUCUUAUAUUUAUUGACUUGCCACACUCUCGUGUGAUCUGUCUUUUGUACAUGUAGCUAUCUGCCAAUCAGAAGGCAGAUAGUGGAAAAUACCUUUCUCCAUCUCUUUGCCUGUGUACUCAUCCUCAUCCACAAAAUAUUUCCUUCACUUCAACAGUGUAAGUCCAUUUAAAAGUAUACAGAAACUACCAUGACUUACUAGAUUAUUACAAGAUUUAGAGGAAUAAAGUUAUGUUCUUUGAGACUAAUUAUUUUUGCUUCUGGCUUUCAUUGUAUUCUGUACAUCAACAGGCUUCCUGUUUGAAAAACAGUUCACUUUUAAAUGGCUUCAUGCUGUUAUCCAAGAUAUUAUAAAUUUGGUAUAGGACAUAAGUGGAUUAUGAGUGGAAAAUGGACUAAAUUCAAAGGGUCAGAAGUCCAAAGUCCAGCUGGUGGUUAGCUACUAGUGGUACCUCUCAGAAUUCAUAGGGCCACUGCCAUUAAACAGUGUUAUUAACAGCUUGAGUUAUGAGGUAGCAUGCACACUCAAUGAACUUACUGAAAAAUAUCAAGCUAGGAGAAGGUGAUGAUGCACUGGGAGGACAGGGCUGCUAACCAGGAGAAAUGAACUGACAGAAAAGUCCUGAAAAUCAAAUGUAAAGGCAAAGUCCUGCACAAGGCAAGGAAAAAUCCCAUGUGCCAGGGUAGACUGAGGAUUGACUAGCUGGAAAGCAGCUUUCCUGAAGAACUUCUGGGGUCAACAAAAUGGAAUGUGCCUUCACAAUAAAGAAGGCCAACUAUGCUUUAACAAGUAGCAAAGCAGUAUCUAG
ensembl:lncRNA